rnacentral:lncRNA from 1 species
UGAAGCAAAAGGGUGAGCACAACUAGCCCAGUAAAGAAUAUCAUGACUAAAGAUAAUUAAAUUAUCAAUAGCCUUCAUCAGUAAUAAAUCAAAGAUUUAGAACAUAGGGUAUAUGAUAAAAAUUUUCAACCAUAGUUACAGCGGAACGAGCAAUCCAUUAGAAGAGUCAAAUAUACCAUCAGGUCUAUUAUCUCCUCCAUGUUAAAAGUCCACCAAUAAUGUUUUAUCCCUGUAACAUCAAUCAACAAUUUUUGUCCACAAUCAUAUGAAUAACUCAUAAUCAUAAUUGUGAUUCUGAAUUCCUUUUCGCACCUAAGACAAAGAUAAUUUACAUCACCUAUCUUCACCUGAAACAUCAAAAAUCAUGGUUAUACCAAAUCACAAUUCCUGCUCAUAAUCAUACUAAUAAAUUCAUCUUUGCACUACAGCCAAAGAUAUACAACUGUAUAACCAAUAAUCAACAGUUCAUCUUUGCACUACAGGCCAAAGAUAUACAACUGUAAAACCAAUAAUGCUGAGACUCAGCUUAAUAGUAUCACGAC